ACUUAGGGUGUAUUGCAUAGUGGAAAGCGGGACCUCGGAGGCGUAGGUGAGGCAGACAGGCAAGUAUAAGGCGCAGGGGCCUUGAAGAGAGGCCAAGACGCUCCCUUCAAGGUACUACUGUCUCGAUCAAGAUUUAAGGCUCCUUGACCUCAAACAGUUGUACUCCGAAAACCUGGCUGCAUUGGACCCUACCUGUGUUGUGUUGCCAUGAACAGCAUCGCGUCAUGGGCUGGCCGGGGCACAGCAAGGGCACUUCCCUCACCAGUUGACCCCAGACUGGCGGAAAC